rnacentral:rRNA from 1 species
UACGUAGGGGGCGAGCGUUAUCCGGAUUCAUUGGGCGUAAAGGGCGCGCAGGCGGCCUCCAGCAGUGGCUCGUGGAAUCUCCCCGCUCAACGGGGAGGGGUCGGGCCAGACGGGGGGGCUUGGGGCAGGCAGAGGAUCGCGGAACGGGCGGAGUAGGGGUGAAAUCCGUAGAGACCGUCCGGAACACCGGUGGCGAAGGCGGCGAUCUGGGCCUGAACUACUCGCAAGAGUGGUGAACCCGACGCUCAGGCGCGAAAGCGUGGGGAGCGAACGGA